rnacentral:rRNA from 1 species
GACGAACGCUGGCGGCGUGCUUAACACGUGCAAGUCGAACGAUGAAGCGGUGCUUGCACCGUGGAUUAGUGGCGAACGGGUGAGUAAUACGUGAGUGACCUACCUUUGACUCUGGGAUAAGCCUGGGAAACUGGGUCUAAUACCGGAUACGACCAAUCUCUGCAUGGGGUGUUGGUGGAAAGCGUUAUGGAGUGGUUUUAGAUGGGCUCACGGCCUAUCAGCUUGUUGGUGAGGUAAUGGCUUACCAAGGCGACGACGGGUAGCCGGCCUGAGAGGGUGACCGGCCACACUGGGACUGAGACACGGCCCAGACUCCUACGGGAGGCAGCAGUGGGGAAUAUUGCACAAUGGGCGCAAGCCUGAUGCAGCGACGCCGCGUGAGGGAUGACGGCCUUCGGGUUGUAAACCUCUGUUAGCAUCGAAGAAGCGAAAGUGACGGUAGGUGCAGAGAAAGCGCCGGCUAACUACGUG